UCUAAUAUAGUCCAGUCUACAGUGAUGCCUUGUGCCCUAGUGGAGAAGGCUGUUUUUGGACUUCUUCGUAUUUGCCAGCGGCUGCUUCCUUAUAAAGAAAACCUGGCUGAUGAACUUUUGAGGUCACUACAGCUGGUACUGAAGCUGGAUGCGCGGGUUGCUGAUGCAUAUUGUGAGCAAAUAACUCAGGAAGUCAGUCGCCUUGUGAAAGCAAAUGCCACUCACAUUAGAUCGCAAAUGGGUUGGCGCACAAUUACAUCCUUACUUUCCAUCACAGCUCGGCACCCAGAGGCUUCCGAAGCAGGAUUUGAU
rnacentral:lncRNA from 1 species